GGAGCCCCAGCCCCGGGAGUCCCAGGUGUUCCCAUUCUGUGAUCAGCACAGAACACAGAAACCUCACCAUGGAGUUUGUGCUGGGCUGGGUUUUCCUGGUUGCUCUUUUAAAAGGUGUCCAGUGUGACGUGCAGCUGGUAGAGUCGGGGGGAGACCUGGUGAAGCCUGGGGGGUCCCUGAGACUCACCUGUGUGGCCUCUGGAUUCACCUUCAGUAGCUAUAGAAUGAACUGGGUCCGCCAGGCUCCAGGGAAGGGCCUGCAGUGGGUCGCAUAUAUUAAAUAUGAUGGAAGUAGCAUAUACUACGCAGACUCCGUGAAGGGCCGAUUCACCAUCUCCAGAGACAACGCCAAGGACACGCUGUAUCUGCAGAUGAACAGCCUGAAGACCGAGGACACGGCCACAUAUUACUGUGCAAGACACACGGUGAGGGGACCUCACUGGGAGCGCACACACAAACCUCCCUGCAGGAGGGCAUCAGCACCACCAGGGGGCGCACACUAG